CGAAAGCCUGACGGAGCCAGACCGCGUGAGGGAAGAAAGACCUUGGUUCGUAAACCUCUUUUCUCAAGGAAGAAGAAGUGACGGUACUUGAGGAAUCAGCAUCGGCUAACUCCGUGCCAGCAGCCGCGGUAAUACGGAGGAGGCAAGCGUUAUCCGGAAUUAUUGGGCGUAAAGCGUCCGCAGGGGGCUCAUCAAGUCUGCUGUCAAAGGUCGGAGCUCAACUCCGGUUCGGCAGUGGAAACUGGUGGGCUAGAGGGCGACAGGGGUAGAGGGAAUUCCCAGUGUAGCGGUGAAAUGCGUAGAGAUUGGGAAGAACACCGGUGGCGAAAGCGCUCUACUGGGUCGCACCUGACCCUCAGGGACGAAAGCUAAGGUAGCG
rnacentral:rRNA from 1 species